rnacentral:rRNA from 1 species
GAUGAACGCUGGCGGCGUGCCUAAUACAUGCAAGUCGAGCGAACAGACGAGGAGCUUGCUCCUCUGACGUUAGCGGCGGACGGGUGAGUAACACGUGGAUAACCUACCUAUAAGACUGGGAUAACUUCGGGAAACCGGAGCUAAUACCGGAUAAUAUAUUGAACCGCAUGGUUCAAUAGUGAAAGACGGUUUUGCUGUCACUUAUAGAUGGAUCCGCGCCGCAUUAGCUAGUUGGUAAGGUAACGGCUUACCAAGGCAACGAUGCGUAGCCGACCUGAGAGGGUGAUCGGCCACACUGGAACUGAGACACGGUCCAGACUCCUACGGGAGACAGCAGUAGGGAAUCUUCCGCAAUGGGCGAAAGCCUGACGGAGCAACGCCGCGUGAGUGAUGAAGGUCUUCGGAUCGUAAAACUCUGUUAUUAGGGAAGAACAAAUGUGUAAGUAACUAUGCACGUCUUGACGAUACCUAAUCAGAAAGCCACGGCUAACUACGUG